rnacentral:rRNA from 1 species
CUAUGCGCCUUGCCAGCCCGCUCAGGUGUGCUAGCCGCCGCGGUAAUACGUAGGGGCAAGCGUUAUCCGGAUUUACUGGGUGUAAAGGGAGCGUAGACGGCAGUGCAAGUCUGGAGUGAAAGGUGGGGGCUCAACCCCCGGACUGCUCUGGAAACUGUACAGCUGGAGUGCAGGAGAGGUAAGUGGAAUUCCUAGUGUAGCGGUGAAAUGCGUAGAUAUUAGGAGGAACACCAGUGGCGAAGGCGGCUUACUGGACUGUAACUGACGUUGAGGCUCGAAAGCGUGGGGAGCAAACAGG